UACGUAGGUGGCGAGCGUUGUCCGGAGUUACUGGGCGUAAAGGGGGCGCAGGCGGCCGCGAGUGGUGGGGAGUGAAAUCCGACCGGCUUACCCGGCGGGGGUCUUCCCAGACGGCGUGGCUAGCGCAAGCAGAGAGGCGCGGAGAGGGGCGUGGAAUUCCGGGUGGAGCGGUGAAAUGCGUAGAGAUCCGGAGGAACACCGACGGCGUAGGCAGCGCCCUGGCCGCGACCUGACGCUCAGGCCCG
rnacentral:rRNA from 1 species